CAGGAAUUGGCUCAGCUUGGUAGAGCGCUACUCUUGGGUAGUAGAGGUCGCAGGUUCAAAUCCUGCAUUCCUGA
rnacentral:tRNA from 1 species